CAGCACAACCCAAACAAUUGCUCAUAAUUAAACUGAUUGGAGGAGCAGACACUGGCAGGAAAUACACUGCUGGCAGCGGUCCGAUAGCACUUCAUUGUACUGAAUUUAGAACAAUUACAUCAGUUCCUUUCAUUUUGCAGAAAAAGAGGAGGGGGGCUGCUUUUUUAUCUUCUGCUCUCUACCAGCAAAAUCGAUGUUUAUCAAAUCUUGUGAAGAUGAUUUGGACAUUUUUAAUGAACUAUGAUGAUCACCAUCACAAGUGCUUUGUACUGGUGCCUUCAAGAUCUGCAUCAAGAAAUACCAGCUCACAAAAGGCCCUGAUAUCACUCAGCCUGAAACACUAACUUCUUUACACCAUUCUGCAGUGCCUUUGUGAGUAAAGAUUCUUUCAAUGUUGUAUCAGUUUGAAUCAGC
ensembl:lncRNA